rnacentral:rRNA from 1 species
GGUGGGAGAUGAGCUUGCGGCCUAUCAGCUUGUUGGUGGGGUAAUGGCCUACCAAGGCGGCGACGGGUAGCCGGCCUGAGAGGGUGUGCGGCCACAUUGGGACUGAGAUACGGCCCAGACUCCUACGGGAGGCAGCAGUGGGGAAUUUUGCACAAUGGGCGGAAGCCUGAUGCAGCGACGCCGUGUGGGGGAUGAAGGCCUUCGGGUUGUAAACUCCUUUCGUCAGGGACGAAGUUUGUUUGACGGUACCUGGAUAAGAAGCACCGGCUAACUACGUGCCAGCAGCCGCGGUAAUAC